rnacentral:piRNA from 1 species
UAUGCAUUCGGUCCUCUUUCA